rnacentral:rRNA from 1 species
AGCGAACGCUGGCGGCAGGCUUAACACAUGCAAGUCGAGCGGGCGUAGCAAUACGUCAGCGGCAGACGGGUGAGUAACGCGUGGGAACGUACCUUUUGGUUCGGAACAACACAGGGAAACUUGUGCUAAUACCGGAUAAGCCCUUACGGGGAAAGAUUUAUCGCCGAAAGAUCGGCCCGCGUCUGAUUAGCUAGUUGGUGAGGUAACGGCUCACCAAGGCGACGAUCAGUAGCUGGUCUGAGAGGAUGAUCAGCCACAUUGGGACUGAGACACGGCCCAAACUCCUACGGGAGGCAGCAGUGGGGGAAUAUUGGACAAUGGGGGCGAACCCUACGAUCCACGCCAUGCCGCCGUGAGU